CCUACGGGUGGCAGCAGUGAGGAAUAUUGGUCAAUGGACGCAAGUCUGAACCAGCCAUGCCGCGUGCAGGAAGACGGCUCUAUGAGUUGUAAACUGCUUUUGUACGAGGGUAAACGCAGAUACGUGUAUCUGUCUGAAAGUAUCGUACGAAUAAGGAUCGGCUAACUCCGUGCCAGCAGCCGCGGUAAUACGGAAGGUCCGGGCGUUAUCCGGAUUUAUUGGGUUUAAAGGGAGCGUAGGCCGGCUUUUAAGUCAGCUGUGAAAGUCCGCGGCUCAACCGUAAAAUUGCAGUUGAUACUGGCAUCCUUGAGUACAGUAGAGGUAGGCGGAAUUCGUGGUGUAGCGGUGAAAUGCUUAGAUAUCACGAAGAACUCCGAUUGCGAAGGCAGCCUGCUGGACUGUAACUGACGCUGAUGCUCGAAAGUGUGGGUAUCAAA
rnacentral:rRNA from 1 species